AAAAAAGCUCCAAUGCUUCUACACAUACUUGUGUCAAAUCCUCCCUACUGGAGGCAUGCUGAGGCAAGCCCAGGAAGGAGAGAAACUUGGGCAGCGUAAAGGGCAAAAGUAUACUCAAUCUUGAUUUUCAGUGGGAAUACAGGCUAUGCUAGUUUGGCCUUGGGAUAUUCUGAAUUUUUAAGUUUUAAGCAAGAGACAUUAGAAAAGUUACCACAGAGAAACCCCCCCUGCGGCAGUCAGCUACUAGCAAAGUUACUUCAACUCUUUGAUGUCAACUUCUCCUGUCACCACAAAACAGCAUUCGCAAAGUGUUGGUUGGAUUGCUCAUUAACAAUUAACAUGAGAUAGGUUUAGACUGCCAUGAGAUGAGAUAGUUAUA
rnacentral:ncRNA from 1 species